rnacentral:tRNA from 1 species
GGGGUUGUAGCUCAGUGGUAGAGUGCUUGCCUAGUAUGUAUGAAGCACUGGGUUCGAUUCUCAGCACCA